rnacentral:rRNA from 1 species
GACGAACGCUGGCGGCGUGCUUAACACAUGCAAGUCGAACGGAAAGGCCCUGCUUUUGUGGGGUGCUCGAGUGGCGAACGGGUGAGUAACACGUGAGUAACCUGCCCUUGACUUUGGGAUAACUUCAGGAAACUGGGGCUAAUACCGGAUAGGAGCUCCUGCUGCAUGGUGGGGGUUGGAAAGUUUCGGCGGUUGGGGAUGGACUCGCGGCUUAUCAGCUUGUUGGUGGGGUAGUGGCUUACCAAGGCUUUGACGGGUAGCCGGCCUGAGAGGGUGACCGGCAACAUUGGGACUGAGAUAUGGCCCAGACUCCUACGGGAGGCAGCAGUGGGGAAUAUUGCACAAUGGGCGGAAGCCUGAUGCAGCAACGCCGCGUGCGGGAUGACGGCCUUCGGGUUGUAAACCGCUUUCGCCUGUGACGAAGCGUGAGUGACGGUAAUGGGUAAAGAAGCACCGGCUAACUACGUG